AAUUCAGGAGUGGGGGUAUAAAUACUUUUUUAAAAGUUACUGUCAGUUUUGAAAUAAACAUUUAUCCGUCAUAUUUUGCUGCUUUACAUAUAAAAAUGGUGAAUUUUGUAAUCGCUGGUAAACCCGAUUGUAAAAAUUUCGUUCAGGUUUUAAACGUUGCGUGUUAUUUACAAAAGAAUCUCCCGUCUUUCGAAUAUACAAAAAUCGAGCUUACCGAUUACGAAUGGGCUGAUUAUUUAAUAAAAACCAAUCGGGAGCAUCAAUGGCAUCAUGGAGAGUCUCCUCUUAUUUACAAAGAACUCUACACUUACGGUUCAAAAAAACCUAACCUCAUCGGAGGCAUCAGCGAGUUUUGGGAGUAUUGUUAUGACUAUUACGGUAUAGAGGUCGCCCUAACUGAGGAUGAAGUCGAAGCUUUACGCAGUCAUAACCUCGAAAGUUUCAAUAAAACAUCAGUGGUACAAUAAAAACAAACUAAAAAUAAUGAUUUACGGAGCUACGAACAACAUGACAUCACUUCUACUCCCAGAAUUCAUGAAAAUCGAAGAAUGUCGAUAUCCGGAAGAGUUACAGUUCUUUCUAUACGAUGAAAAGCUAGAAACAAGCAACCAAACGUACUUUGACAACUUCAACGAGGAAUUCACGGAUUUAUAUGGAACCAAAGCAAUUUACUGCGAUAGUUUAGCAGUGGGGUUGAAGGAUUGCGAUUAUCUCAUCAUGCUUGAUGACACGUUAGAAAUCUUUGACGAUUCAGAAGAGUUGCAGAACUACUUUUUACAAAUAUGUUUCCUCUGUGAAGAGAUAAAUUCAUGCGCAAAUCGCAAUAUGAAAAUCAUCUUUGCAAACAAUGGUUACUCAUGUUUAAUCGCUACAAUCGUAGCGAGAAAAGUGCGUAUCCCCACUCCCAAAUCGUGGUUGUAAGCAGUGACCGCGGAUUAGGUUACCUCGGUGAAAUGUCACGACGUUUAAACAUUGACACACGCAAAAUGAGCGCGCCACCUGUCUGGGGCUCUUUAGGAUUCAAUGAUUUUGUUGAUGCUGGUAGUACCCUUCUAAAAUGCAAAGUUUACAAACCCAACGCACGCGCAGUACACGCCCCCAAAGAUUCCACCUAACUCAUGGCACAAUCCGCUGCGAAUUGAGAUAUAUUAAUUAUUUGAGUGAUAAUAUAAAAGAUUUGGCAGAAACCGUUAACAGACGUCGAGAAAUUGUGAGGCACACUUUACAAAGACCUGCAAUGCUUGCAAAAUUAGAAGCUUUGUUGUCCUUGUUGAAGAUUUGGUUGGAUUGUUCAACCAUAAAAGACCCGAUUAUUAGUUUAGGGAUAAUGUCGGAUGGGUCUUUUAACAUCCCGCCGAAAAUUGUGUUUUCCCAACCUGCGAUAAGGUUUAAGAAUGGGUGGAUCCCUUAUUCCAGUUAUCCUGUCCCGAAACAUAUCCUGGAAAGUGUCAUGGCCGCCGGAAUAGACGCGGAAACUCAUUAUGAAAGUUAUAUAGGUGGUAAAACCUUCAAAGAAGUGCAGAAGAGGUUAACAUAUGAAUAUUUUAAUGAUGAAAUGCCAAACUUUCCUGAUUUAAGCAUUGAAGAUUUUGGACAGUAUUUAGAAAGUAUAACAACACUAUAAUUUUCUGCUCGGAAUAAUAAUGGUGGUCUAAUAUUUAUUUAUUUACUCAUUUCUUAAUCUAAUAUAAAUAAAUUCAUUAAUAUGAUGUUUAUAUACACGUA